rnacentral:rRNA from 1 species
ACAGCAGUCGCCGCGGUAACACGUAGGGUGCAAGCGUUAAUCGGAAUUACUGGGCGUAAAGCGUGCGCAGGCGGUUUUGUAAGACAGAGGUGAAAUCCCCGGGCUCAACCUGGGAACUGCCUUUGUGACUGCAAGGCUAGAGUACGGCAGAGGGGGAUGGAAUUCCGCGUGUAGCAGUGAAAUGCGUAGAUAUGCGGAGGAACACCGAUGGCGAAGGCAAUCCCCUGGGCCUGUACUGACGCUCAUGCACGAAAGCGUGGGGAGCAAACAGGAUUAGAUACCCGCGUAGUCCCUGUCUCUUAUAU